rnacentral:lncRNA from 1 species
UUUUUCGAUUUCAUGUGGUGGCAGAAACUGUUGGGUUUCUGAUAAGAGCUGGUGAUGAUGCUAUGCCUUGCCUUGGUCUGUUGUCUAAGUCGACUGAUGGAUUUUUUUUAUGUAUGUGAUGCUAUGGCUGAAUCUAUUGGUAUGGAUCGAAACGUGAAACUGUAUUUGAUUGAUGCUUUGCCUUGGUCUGUCGCCUUGUGAUGACAAUUGAUGACUCAAUGUCUGAGGGUUAC